ACCUCUGCAGUAAUCAAGGCCCCCAGGAGUCCCUUGGUGAGAUCCGGAGCUCCCAAGCCCAGCCCAAGCUCCUGCUUAACCCUGCAUUUUCUGGAAGCACAUCCCCACAGACUCCACGCCUGGAGAGGAGCCGGGGUUGUCCCUUUCCGUCUCUAACAACACCGGCUGUCAACAAUUUUGUAAAGUGAGUUCUGCUCUCCCACAGACUUGCACCAUGAACUUGGAAAUCUCUGACUCCACAUCACUGCCCAGAGUGCAGGCUCCCUCCUUUCCCUUCAAGAAUCCAGUCUCCAAAUCCAACAGCUGGGUUCGAAUCCCAAUUCCACCACCUAGUCCCUGGGUGAUCUCAGAUAAGGUUCUUCACCUCUCUGAACCUCAGUUUCUCAUCUAGAAAAUGGGAUGAUAGCAAAGACUACCUCAUAAGGUUGCG
ensembl:lncRNA novel transcript, antisense to PDK2